rnacentral:tRNA from 1 species
ACUUAAAUAGUUUAAUUGAAAAUUUUAAUUUGUGGAAUUAAAGAUGACCUUGGUUUUUAAGUA